GUGUGUCAGUUGUCGUGCCAACGGCAUCGCUGAGUAGCUACGUCUGGCAAAGAUAACCGCUGAAAGCAUCUAAGUGGGAAACUUGCCCCAAGAUUAGAUCCCUCAUCCCGUUAAGGGAGUAAGGCCGCAGAAAGACCAUCUGCUUGAUAGGCAGCAAGUGUAAGCGCAGUAAUGCGUUCAGCUAAGCUGUACUAAUGGCCGAGGGCUUAAUUUG
rnacentral:rRNA from 1 species